rnacentral:ncRNA from 1 species
UGGUUGGCGGGAGGCUCUGACACGCGGUCCGAACCCGGCCGCCGGGACCGCGCCGAGCCACUGGCGAGACCGACCCGCUCGCAU